AUGCAGUCCGGAUAGGAGGAGAUGGGGAAUGGAACCAGGUUCACAGGGACUUUCAGGGGUGGAAAAGGCAUUUUCCGGCACUCCCCUCCCCCUGCUCCCAGGUUGUCAUGAAGGUUGACGUGGUGUAUGAGAAGCAGAUGCUCUACCUCUACGUGCUGAGCGGCAUCGGGGGGCUGCUGCUGCUGCUGCUCAUUUUCAUAGUGCUGUACAAGGUUGGUUUCUUCAAACGGAACCUGAAGGAGAAGAUGGAGGCUGGCAGAGGUGUCCCAAAUGGAAUCCCUGCAGAAGACUCUGAGCAGCUGGCAUCUGGGCAAGAGGCUGGGGAUCCGGGCUGCCUGAAGCCCCUCCACGAGAAGGACUCUGAGAGUGGUGGUGGCAAGGACUGAGUCCAGGCCUGUGAGGUGCAGAGUGCCCAGAACUGGACUCAGGAUGCCCAGGGCCACUCUGCCUCUGCCUGCAUUCUGCCGUGUGCCCUCGGGCGAGUCACUGCCUCUCCCUGGCCCUCAGUUUCCCUAUCUCGAACAUGGAGCUCAUUCCUGCCUGUCUCCUUUGCAGGCUCAUAGGGAAGACCUGCUGAGGGACCAGCCAAGAGGGCUGCAAAAGUGAGGGCUUGUCAUUACCAGACGGUUCACCAGCCUCUCUUGGUUUCCUUCCUUGGAAGAGAAUGUCUGAUCUAAAUGUGGAGAAACUGUAGUCUCAGGACCUAGGGAUAUUCUGGCCCUCACCCCUGCCCUGGGAUGUCCACAGAUGCCUCCACCCCCCAGAACCUGUCCUUGCACACUCCCCUGCACUGGAGUCCAGUCUCUUCUGCUGGCAGAAAGCAAAUGUGACCUGUGUCACUACGUGACUGUGGCACACGCCUUGCUCUUGGCCAAAGACAAAAUUCCUUGGCAUGCCUUCCAGCACCCUGCAAAAUGAGACCCUCGUGGCCUUCCCCAGCCUCUUCUAGAGCCGUGCUGCCUCC
rnacentral:sRNA from 1 species